AUGGACCAAUCCAUCCCUUUUUCCCGUGCAUAUGCAUCGGACUCGGAUGACGAUGGUCCUGAUGAAGAAGUUGAUGAGGAGGGGUUCACACCGAAGUAGGCCGAAGCAUUCAAGAAGGUAUUCGGGCGGGAUCACAAGACACCAUUGUUCAAGGAUCUUAAUCUCGUGGAUGAAGCCGUUGUGGAUGGUGGAAAAUGCAUAUCUCUUGGAGCUAGGCCAAGUUCUCAC
rnacentral:rRNA from 1 species